rnacentral:rRNA from 1 species
CCUACGGGAGGCAGCAGUAAGGAAUAUUGGUCAAUGGACGCAAGUCUGAACCAGCCAUGCCGCGUGAAGGAUUAAGGCCCUCUGGGUUGUAAACUUCUUUUAUAGGGGAAGAAAUGCAUUUUUUCUUGAGUGCUUGACGGUACCCUAGGAAUAAGCACCGGCUAACUCCGUGCCAGCAGCCGCGGUAAUACGGAGGGUGCCAGCGUUAUCCGGAUUCACUGGGUUUAAAGGGUGCGUAGGUGGGCAGAUAAGUCAGUGGUGAAAUCUUCCGGCUUAACCGGGAAACUGCCGUUGAUACUAUUUGUCUUGAAUAUUGCGGAGGUAAGCGGAAUAUGUCGUGUAGCGGUGAAAUGCUUAGAUAUGACAUAGAACACCAAUUGCGAAGGCAGCUUACUACACAAUUAUUGACACUGAUGCACGAAAGCGUGGGGAGCGAACAGGAUUAGAUACCCUGGUAGUCCACGCCCUAAACGAUGAUUACUCGACAUACGCGAUACACUGUGUGUGUCUGAGCGAAAGCAUUAAGUAAUCCACCUGGGAAGUACGACCGCAAGGUUGAAACUCAAAGGAAUUGACGG